rnacentral:lncRNA from 1 species
AGCCAGAGGCCCUGAAACCAGAGCCUGUGUGCACGUGGCUGAUGGGGUGCACAUCUGGGUAGCACCUGGAGCCUCAUCUGUCCCUUGACAUCACCCAUUCAUGUCAACCCAGAAACAAUUUGAGCCUGAUUUUUAUUCUCUCUCAUGAUGGGUGGACAGGAGAACAUUACUACUUUCUUGGCUUUUUUCCACCCAAACUGUUCCUCCUUUGUUCUUGCACAGAUUUAGCUGCCCUUAUCUCCUGAGGUGGGAAGCUUGCCAGCCUCACUGCAGCUCUCUGAUAUGGGUGAGAAAUCCUCACUGGAUUCCAGUCUGUUGCCUAAUGAAUAAGGAGAGCAUGGAGGGAGCAGACAUCUGGAUUGCCUGUGACCAGGACAAUGCGCAUGGAGUCCUCCCUGCAGGGACUCUUGCAGGGUCUGGGGGCCGCUCAUCUGGAGCUGCACAGUUGUACAUGGAGUGGUUGGUGACUUCACCUGCAGCGUAGUGAGCAAAUGCAUCACUCCCUGCUUCCUUCUAGGUCAAAAAUGAAAAGAUAGCUAAUUAAAUCAUGCUUUUAAUGCUAUUUGAAUUAUAAAACAAAAACGAACCAUUUCUGGUGUAUUUUUUUCAUUAAUUCUGUCAUAAAAUGUAAUUUAAAUGACUUAAGUAUCCCAACCAAGUCAUUUUGCUAAUUAUCAUAACACAAACAUAAAGACAGUAUAAAUAUAUGUAAAACCUCACUUGAAAUUUUCCCUGACACUGCCCCUCCACAAAUACUUGCUGAAUGCAGUUAAAAACAUGACACUAAGCCUGUUGUAACCUUGUUAUAACCCUUUAUUCUUUGUGCAUGUACCAUCUGGGGGUUAGAAGAUAAAGAACCUUAUUCCUAUCAAGACUAUUAAGAACUAUUUUUCUAAUAAGCUAUGGCUAAUGUCUAUCUUGCAUCUGCCCAACUUCCUUUUAUGUCUCAAAUUUAAACCCAGGGUUUUGUAAUGAGGGGCAUUGGGGAGUUAGUGAUGAAGCAGGCGGUCCCAGCAGUCAGUGGGGAACAAAUCACAUCUUGAAAAGGGACUGCCGUCAUCCUGAGAAACACGAAGAGACAUCAGCAAUGUGAAAACAACCAAGUGAAAAAGACUCCAAACACUUUUCAUGUUUAAAGCAGCCUUUAGAGAUAGAGAGAUAGGGAUGUUUUCAUUUUACUUUUUUUCUUCCUUUUCCUUUUUUUUUUUUUUCCCUACACAGUCAGAUUUUUGGAGCUAAAAUCAAUUUUUAAUUUCUGAAGUGCUGUUUUAGUUCUUGAGCCUGUAUAUGGAAAAUAUGACUGUCAAUAGGAAAUGUUUGAAAGGAAACAUAUGACAAAGCCCCUGCUGUGCAGACAGGCAGGGCUGGCCUAGAUGGGAUUUGCAGCUGAAUUUCACCAAUAAAAAAGCAGCAUGUAUCUCUUUUGUGGCCUAC